GGUUUCUCUGUGUAGCCCUGGCGGUCCUGGCACUCGCUCUGUAGACCAGGCUGGCCUCGAGUUCAAAGAUCCGCCUGCCUCUGCCUCCCGAGUGCUGGGACUAAAGGCGUGCGCCACCAACGCCC
ensembl:miRNA